AGGUGACAGAUUAUUUAAAUAGCGAUUUUUAUAUUAAAUUGAAAAAAAGAAUUUGAAGUUUCAAUAGUUGACACGAAUAAAUUGAGUUGUAAUUAUAAAGUAUUAGUAUUGUAAGAGAAUUUUAGGAUUUAUUAAAAAGAAAAGUUUAAGUUUUGUACCUUGUGUAUCAGGGUUUAUUAAGUAUGAUUUAUUUAAUUUAAAUUUCUCGAAUUUAAAAGAGCUACAAGUUUAUAAGAAUUUUAUUGUUGCAUAAAUAUUUAAAAUAUAUUUGUUGAAGUAAAAUGCUAUGCGGUUUUAAAUAUAUCUAGUUUUUUAAGAUAAAAUUUAAUUUUAUUUUUGAUACAUGAUAAUUUUUACUGGAUAAUUUUAUUAUUUUCAAAAGGUUAGGAAUGAAGGGAUGAGCUUUUAUUUUUAUAAGUAAAACUUAAUAGAGUUAAUUAUUUUUAGUAGGAUUAAAAAUGUCUUUCAAAAAGAGUAUUAUUAUCAUUUAUAAGAAUUUAAGAUUUUUAUUGGGUUUAUUUAUUAUAUUAAAAUAUAAAUUUAAAUAAAUAAGAUUUAGAAAUAAUGAUAAAAUUAGUAUAAUUGUAAGAUGUAUUUUAUGAAAGUAUGGGAAAGGUUUUUAAAAGGAACUCGGCAAAUAUAUUUUUCACCUGUUUAAUAAAAACAUGGCUUGUUGAUUAUGAUUUCAGGUCUGACCUGCCCAAUGAGAAUUUGAAUGGCCGCAGUAAUUUGACUGUGCAAAGGUAGCAUAAUCAUUAGUUUUUUAAUUGGAAGCUAGAAUGAAAGGUUUAAUGAAAAAAUGACUGUCUCUUGAAAAAUGUGUUUGAAUUUUAUUUUUAAGUGAAAAAGCUUAAAUUUUUAUAGAAGACGAGAAGACCCUAUAGAGUUUUAUAUCUAGAUUUAUAUUGGAUUUAUAGAAUUUAAAGUUUGAUUUAAUUGUAGGUAUUUGGUUGGGGUGAUAAAAAAAUUAGAUAAACUUUUUUUUAAAAGAUACAUUGAUAUAUGAAUAUAUGAUCCUGUCAUGCAGAUUAUAAGAUGAAAUUACCUUAGGGAUAACAGCGUAAUUUUCUCUAGAGUUCUUAUCGAAAAGAAAGAUUGCGACCUCGAUGUUGGAUUAAAAUUUGGUGCUGGUGAAGAAGCUUGCAUACUAAGUCUGUUCGACUUUUAAAAUUUUACAUGAUCUGAGUUUAAACCGGUGUAAGCCAGGUUGGUUUCUAUCUCUAUAUAGAUAAAAUAUUUUAGUACGAAAGGACCGAGUAUUUAGUUUAAAAACUUUAUUUUAGAAUUAUAUU
rnacentral:rRNA from 1 species